UACGAAGGGGGCUAGCGUUGCUCGGAAUCACUGGGCGUAAAGCGCACGUAGGCGGAUCUUUAAGUCAGGGGUGAAAUCCCAAGGCUCAACCUUGGAACUGCCUUUGAUACUGGGGAUCUCGAGUCCGGAAGAGGUUGGUGGAACUCCGAGUGUAGAGGUGAAAUUCGUAGAUAUUCGGAAGAACACCAGUGGCGAAGGCGGCCAACUGGUCCGGCACUGGCGCUGAGGUGCGAAAGCGUGGGGAGCAAACAGG
rnacentral:rRNA from 1 species